rnacentral:tRNA from 1 species
GAGGUUGUGGCUCAACGGUAGAGCACUUGCCUAGCGUGCACGAGGCCCUGGGUUCAAUCCUCAGCAUCA